rnacentral:rRNA from 1 species
UACGUAGGGUGCAAAGCGUUAAUCGGAAUUACUGGGCGUAAAAGCGUGCGCAGGCGGUUAUGUAAGACAGUUGUGAAAUCCCCGGGCUCAACCUGGGAACUGCAUCUGUGACUGCAUAGCUAGAGUACGGUAGAGGGAUGGAAUUCCGCGUGUAGCAGUGAAAUGCGUAGAUAUGCGGAGGAACACCGAUGGCGAAGGCAAUCCCUGGACCUGUACUGACGCUCAUGCACGAAAGCGUGGGGGAGCAAACAGG